CGAUAGCUCAAAGGUAGAGCCCCAACCGGUAAUUGGAACUUGGCGGGUUCGAUUCCCGUUCG
rnacentral:tRNA from 1 species